rnacentral:lncRNA from 1 species
AAAACUAUUAGAAAAGUUUGAAAAAAAAUCUUAGAGAGAUGUCAUAAAAUCAUAGGUUGUGUGAUUACUUGUUAAUCACAAUUAUUAAUUACAAUUUUCAACAACUGCAUUUAUGUUAUCAAUCUUAAGUUUAUGCUGAUUCUUGAAGCCUGUAGGACAGGUGUGUGUUUUCAGCAGGUAUGUGGAUUCAAAUUGCAUUUUCAGGAGCUGAGCUGAGCCAACAUAACUUUAGGUAAAGACUGUAAACAAAAAAGUCUCAUCUAUCCCUGUUUGUAGGAAACCAUCAAAAGUGCUCAAAGGACUCACUGAUAGUAAAGCCAGACCUCAGCCAUGGUCACAGCCUAUUGUUACUUUCCCUGUUACCUUCCUUUCAGGAAUAGACUUCGGAAGAGCUGUGACCUAGGAUGGAGGCUGUCAAUCAAGGGGCACUGCCUCCCCUCAGAAGGCUGGGAAGGAAAGGUUGAAAGGGUUCAAGGAAGGGCUUUGCUGAAGGCAAAGAAGAUGAAGAGAAGAGAGAGAGCUCUGAACCUCUGGGCUGGUGCAGGAGAGGGAGCCGAGCCAGUUCCCGAGCAGCCCCCAGAGAAGAGGUGUGAGAUCUCUUGUGGCUGUGACCACCUGAUCUGAGCUGUCUACUGAGUGCCUUGUCUCCCAGAAGGAGUGGAUGGGAGACGCCAACCCCGUGCUUGUCAGUCUCUCCUGAAGGUCUAACGCCGGCCACCCUGCAGUGCAGAUCACAGGUCUGCCAGUGAAAUAAUGGAAACUUUCCGGGAGCAAGAAGCUAAAAGAUUUUUGUCAAGACAAAUGCUCGGCAUAAGGAAAAUGAAGGUAAAUUAACUAACACCAGAGACCACAGCUGCUAGGUCAAUGUAGGAUGAGCUGUAAGAAACAAGUGACAUCGUGAAGCCCUGGUACUGGACAAGAAGUUAAUGUUUAUAUUGAGAACAGCUGGACUAGAAAUUCUUUGAGGCCAGAGGCUGUGGUUUGCGUUUCCCCUGAAUCUCCUACAGCUUCCAACACAAUGCUGAACAUAGAAAAAAAUCAGAAUUCUCACAGAGCCAGAUCCAGGUAAAAAGGUGGAAGAGGACACAUUGUGUUUCUAUUUGAUGAAAAUUGCCGUAAAUAUUUUGAAUGGAUUCAGAGCAUUGAGGAAACCAUGAAAAGACACUUGCAAAAGAGAACUUCCAGAGCUGCUUCAGAGACUGGCG